rnacentral:rRNA from 1 species
AGCUUCGGCCAUCCGGCGAGGGAUGGGCCCGCGGUGCAUUAGCUAGUUGGUGGGGUAAUGGCCCACCAAGGCAACGAUGCGUAGCUGGUCUGAGAGGAUGAUCAGCCACACUGGGACUGAGACACGGCCCAGACUCCUACGGGAGGCAGCAGCCAGGAAUCUUGGGCAAUGGGCGAAAGCCUGACCCAGCAACACCGUGUGGGCGAUGAAGGCCUUCGGGUCGUAAAGCCCUGUUGAUAGGGACGAAGGGCGAAGGGUUAAUAGCCC